rnacentral:rRNA from 1 species
GAUGAACGCUGGCGGCGUGCUUAACACAUGCAAGUCGAACGAUGAAGCCCAGCUUGCUGGGUGGAUUCGUGGCGAACGGGUGAGUAACACGUGAGUAACCUGCCCUUAACUCUGGGAUAAGCCUGGGAAACUGGGUCUAAUACCGGAUAGGAGCGUCCACCGCAUGGUGGGUGUUGGAAAGAUUUAUCGGUUUUGGAUGGACUCGCGGCCUAUCAGCUUGUUGGUGAGGUAAUGGCUCACCAAGGCGACGACGGGUAGCCGGCCUGAGAGGGUGACCGGCCACACUGGGACUGAGACACGGCCCAGACUCCUACGGGAGGCAGCAGUGGGGAAUAUUGCACAAUGGGCGCAAGCCUGAUGCAGCGACGCCGCGUGAGGGAUGACGGCCUUCGGGUUGUAAACCUCUUUCAGUAGGGAAGAAGCGAAAGUGACGGUACCUGCAGAAGAAGCACCGGCUAACUACGUG